CAGCUUUUGAUGUAUGUCUUCUGGAUCAGAUAUUUAUCCGAUAGUUACCACAGCUGUUGUGUUUUUCUUAUGUAAAAUAUUGCAGAUAAAUCAUCUUACUAACUGAAUUCAUCUGAUUUAUUUCUGCCACCAGUUGUGUGAGCAAGGCUUAGCUAUGGAACUUUGACCACCUGUACUGAGUCUCUGUAUUGGAGAUUCAAGCAGAGACUAACAAGAUAAGAAAAAACAAGAACACCAACAUAACCUAAGUAAGCAUAAUGUUGUCACUAUUCAUAACCCAAACCCAAACUAAUAAUGAUCAGUCAAAUAAAAAAGAGAAAGAAGAGGGCUGUUUCAUUAAUUCCAACGACAUUACAACCUUUUCUAAGAUCUUGAAGAUAAAGAGGAGAUACGCUGGUCUCACAUCAGAUUUUCUGUAGUUUAGGAGGCUUUUCUUCAAUUCUACUUGAACUGGUACCAAUUUAGUUUGAUUCCAUUUGUACUAAUUUCCUAGCAGAUUGUUUAUAGUGUGUGUGUGUGUGUGUGUGUGUGUGUGUGUGUGUGUGUGUGUGUGUGUGUGUGAGAUCAUUGUACCAGGCUGUCCUUUUUUCUCUAAUUAUUUUUCUUCUAAAUGGCACUACAUUAUGUAGGCUGUAGUGAAAAUUGACUAAGUAAUCAGUUGCCUGAUCGAGUUCUGUGGGGUUGGACAGUGAUCGGUUCAUAGAUGAUAAUUCUGGGUGACUAUUUAUGAAUCUUUCUGUAGUUGCAGAUAUAAAUGUAUGUUUAUCACGAUACCAUGGCAAAGCACAUAGCACAUGUAUUUAAGACACAAUUUAAAUGAGAGAAGAUAAUGAUCUGGAAUAGCUUCAGACUGUGGAAAUAUGUAUUAUAUUAUAUAUUUCUAUAUUUUAUUAUUCAAUCCGUAUGUUAGAAUGAGAUCCACAGUGUAACCUCCAUUAUGAGUGAAAAAUAUUACAUGCUAAUUAACCCCUACUGAAUCUAAGAUUGACACAAAAUAUUUUCUCUGCUGAUUUUUGUAAUUGUCGCAAUGCGUUGUUGUUAUAUUAAUGUAUAGAUUUUAAUCUUAGCCAGAUACUAUGCUUUAUGUCUAAUCUGCAACAAAAUAUCUCCAGUUGUAAACCACACACAAUCAGAUUAGCCUGCUUGUCUGCUCCCUGGCCCUGGCUCUGAAUUUUCACAGAUUAACUAGGCCUGUUCUUAGACUAUGUGCUAUGCUGCAAGAACUUCUCAAGCAAGCUUGGGUUUUUUAAAAGGUUCAACAAUACAGUGUGGAAACAGACAUGCAAAUGUUCAUGUAUAAAUUAGGCUGCUUUCUUUUAUUGUUCAAUUUAAUUUCUCUUGCUUUGUAUGUAGCUUUGUAUUAAACCACAGCUGUUGUGUUUUUCUUAUGUAAAUUAUUCCAGAUAAAUCAUCUUACCAAGUGGAUUCAUCGGAUUUAUUUCUGCCACCUGUUGCAAGUGCGAGUUCAACCAUUAAUCAUGACAUCAAAACGAAAAAAAAGCCUCCGUUUUGUCACCUGGAACACAAAUGGUAUAAAAUACCCAUCUGAAAAAUUUCAUGAUAUAAUAAAAAUUCUUACAUGCCUUAAUGCUGAUGUUGCCUUUAUACAAGAGACACAUGUUGGGACACAAUGUGUCAAAAUCCUACAAAAUGUUCCAGGCUGGAGAUCCUACUUCACUGUGCACAGCUCCCGCAGCAAAGGAGUCGCUAUACUGAUCAAAGAAGGCAUAACAUUUAAGUAUAUAUGUCAUGAUGAGGAUUGUUGUGGAGGUUACAUUGUGCUGUUCUGUCAUCUGUAUGGUGAACUGUACACUCUUGUCAAUGUGUACAAUCAUAACGCAGACAGAAUUGUCUUGGGUAGACUGAAAGAGUAUUUGAGGGAAACAGCUGAGGGUUUGCUGGUGGUUGGAGGUGAUUUCAACACAGUUUUAGAUCCCA